GAUGAACGCUGGCGGCGUGCCUAAUACAUGCAAGUCGAGCGAACAGACGAGGAGCUUGCUCCUCUGACGUUAGCGGCGGACGGGUGAGUAACACGUGGAUAACCUACCUAUAAGACUGGGAUAACUUCGGGAAUCCGGAGCUAAUACCGGAUAAUAUAUUGAACCGCAUGGUUCAAUAGUGAAAGACGGUUUUGCUGUCACUUAUAGAUGGAUCCGCGCCGCAUUAGCUAGUUGGUAAGGUAACGGCUUACCAAGGCAACGAUGUGUAGCCGACCUGAGAGGGUGAUCGGCCACACUGGAACUGAGACACGGUCCAGACUCCUACGGGAGGCAGCAGUAGGGAAUCUUCCGCAAUGGGCGAAAGCCUGACGGAGCAACGCCGCGUGAGUGAUGAAGGUCUUCGGAUCGUAAAACUCUGUUAUUAGGGAAGAACAAAUGUGUAAGUAACUAUGCACGUCUUGACGGUACCUAAUCAGAAAGCCACGGCUAACUACGUG
rnacentral:rRNA from 1 species